AGAAAAAGAAGUGUUCUAUAAGAAGUUUGGACAAGACUCUGCAAGAAGUUAAGAGAAUCUAUCAAGUCUAGUUAACACUCAUUUGCUUAGCAGGUCCUUAAAGGCAACUGUGAAUUAACGGAGACUAGUUUUGAGAAAAUCAGUCCUGAUUUGUUUCUCCUGGAGUUUUCUUCUUUAUGUGAUCCUUCAUAAAAGGUCACCCUUAUUAUUGGUCCUUGUAGUAAAGGGUAAUUAUCUCAAAACAAUUUUGUAAUUCUCCUCAUUUUUUCCUUUAAAAAUGUUUGUUUUCCUUUACUUCCCUGAGUACUCACAUAGUUUACUAUGGCAUGCAUGUUCCCCUUUGCAAUGCCCUAUUCCCGAACAAAUGUCAUUUUCUUUUAGAGAGCCUCUCUCUGUUUGUUAUUUAGGUUGAGAGUGUGCAUGCAUUUAUAGGUUUUAAAGGACUGAAAAAAUAGAUCAAUCCUGGCUGAAGUACAGGACAUAUCGUCUCAAUUUUGUUCUCAAUUUUGGCUCCAUAUUUUAUGUACCUGAGGGAGCUUAAGAAAGUGAAUGUCUCAGUCUACCCCCAGAGAUUUUGAUUUAGUUGGUUUGGGGGAUGGUCUGGGCAUUAAGACUUUAUGGAAACUUCCCAGGUGAUUCUAAUGUGCAGCCAAGGUUGAGAGUUUGAGAACAGUUCUAGUAAUACGCCACUAUUUCAUGUAUGUUCAUGGAGUCUCCUAAUAUGAGUAAGAUUUCACCAGGACCUCUAUUUCCUGGCUCAUUUAGGCAGCUUCUGAUUCAAAAAGUUCACAAGGGCUAUGGGCAAAGAAGACAUUUCUAGAAAAUGAAUUAUUUUACAUUAGUUAGCUACCUUGGAGAAAUUAUGAGUUUAAACUCUUUUUUUUUGCUCCAUUGGCUUAAGUGGAGUUUGAAAGCAAGUCGUGGCCUCUUUGGACGCCUUUUCCCUCGGUUCAUACCACCACUUUGGCUUUGUGGACAUUGCCACUAUGAACAUGAAGGAUGUGUGGAAAAAGCAAGUUAGCAAGGGUUCUUUUUUCCCCAAAACCUUAUAGUAGAGCUGACCUUUAAAACAUUUUCUCUGAGGUUCUGUGAGCAACCAUCCUUGUCAGGAUUAGUUCAAAGUUUCCCAAUUUCAUAUACUUGACAGAAUUAUCUGGUAAUUAUAUAAUAAUAACAACAACAACAUAAAGCAGAUCCUUCACCUCACCCCAGCUAGUCUCAGAAACACAACUGGUCAGCAUAAGAUUAAAGGGGCUGAGGAGAGCACCCAUAGUAAAGCUUGCUAAUGCAGCAGCCUUUCGAGAUGCACCAUGAUACCUCAGCAAUGACGUCUUAAUAAGUUUUAUAAAUUUAUUGAGUCUAAUGAAUUUUUGUUAGCUCUGCUAACUCUCUCUCACUUUGCUCCUUUUGCAGCUGCUAAUAUGGGAAAGAUUGAAAUCAGCAAGUUUCUGGCUGUAAGCUAAAAGAGGCUCUUGAAUCAUAUUUCCGCCUGCUUAGCAAAUUUCUCUUGCGACAAUUGGAUGUUAUUUGGGGUUCCAUACUAGCAGGAAGAAGUACAAGCAAAGCUAAGUCAUUUUGAGAAUAAAUAUUAUCUCUCUAUAUAUUUGUAAAUGUUAUUUUCUUUUUUUUUGAGGUUUAUGAUUGAUCCUUGGCAUGUGUCCCCUUGUGUAUUGCUCUACUAAAAAUAGCCUAAAAAAGAAUUUUCCCCUCGAUGUGGAGCUUCUCUUUAGUUACAAUUCUACUUUCUCCUUCACUUGAGUAUCAGUCUUCAGAGAACUACCAUAACAAAGGAGUGGAUACAGAUAUACGCAAAAAAGUCUAUGAGAAAAUUAGUACAUUAAAUUUGUGAAAGCUCAUUUAAAGUAAUUUUCUACUAACAAUUUUAAUCAAAUGUAUUAAUCAUAUUUCUAUGCUUAGUGAUGUUAAAUAAAAAUUUAAAAGGUGGCAAUCAAUAAACAGAGAUAAAAGCUUCUCAAGAAUAAAUGAAAGGAAGUAAUAAAAAGACUCACUAAGCUGAAUUGCCUCCUAUCAACAGCAGCUGAUAAAAUAUUAAAAGAUUUGCCUUGUGUAAUGUCUCUGGAGAGCUGUCUUACUGAUGUACGAGGCCAUGAUUGACAACUUUGAGACUUUGCUGGAAGCGACAAAAGUAUAUCUAUAAUAUUAUGCUGAAUUGCAUAGGUCUUUCUUCUUAAAUGAGGCUAGAAAUAACAUACCACCAAGUGUUUGGCUUUUAGGAAAUUGAGCAUUUUCUUUAGUUCUAGCUGCAGUUUAAUUUCCUCAGAAUUAGACAUUAUGCGGUAUCUGGAACGUUAAAAAAAAAAAAAAGCAAAAACAGAGUAUUGUACCUAAUGAUAUGUCAAAUAAUUUUGGAGGAAUUAAGAAAUCACUGGAAGAAAUUACAUGGGUGGGUAAUGGUUUUUAUGUCACAAUAAAUAAUUAGUAAUAUUUACUGACACAUUUCAUGUGCCUGGUACUGAGCUAAAUGAUUUAUGUGCAUUGUUUGUAUUAAGCCCCCAAAAUUCUGUGGUAUAUGUAAUGAUAUUUCCAUUUUUCUUGAGAUAAGGAACUGAAACUCAGAAAAGUUAAGGAACUUGUCCAAGAUUAUAGUAAGUGGCUUAGUUCAAUUUUGAAUCUAGAUCAAUCUGACUCCAACCAGCAUGAUGAACUGAAACUGACUAUGAGGCUGGUGACACUCUAGGCAUUUAUUCACAAGAGGUAUUGUGAUGACAUGUGAGAGAAUGUUGGAUGAAGGAAGCACAUACUAGAAAGAUAGGAAAGACCAGAAAACACAGGGAAGUGCUAUUUAUUUGCUUUCCUAGUUCCAGUAACUUGGUCUAAUGGGGAGGAUGAAAGUAGACAGAUACCUGAAAACACUUUGAGAUUUAUGUAUAAGCAGCAUGACUUCAGUGACCAAGCCACACAGAAUCUGGGAGUGGAACAUUUUCUUUGGUCAUUAUGCCACUGCGGCAUGGUUUGUUAGUGCAGUGAGAACUAAAGUAUAGUGUGGUAACCUGAAACUGUUAUGGUUAUGGGUACACCUGGGUGGGUAGCUGUUCACCCCUUCACAGAGGGUAGGAGUGGUGAUAGCAAAGUAGCUCUUCGCAGUAACUUUCAGAACAUAGACAUUAUGUAAGAUCUGAAGUUUGAAAACCUGAAACAAAAGCAGAGCAUUAUAUCCAAGCACAUUGGAGACAACUGUGGAGGAAUCAAGGAACAUCUAGCAGAGAUUUAAUGUUUUAGGGACUGUUUUUUAUUUCAGAAGGUAAUAAGUGUAAAACAGUCAAACUCUAGGCAUAGGGAUGAACAUUAUUUUGUGUCAUAAAUUUGUCUAAUAUAGUUGCUGCUUCAGCAUCCAGUUUUGGCUUGUCAUGGUCAAGGUGACCAGUCAUGCCCUGUCACCUUUGGUUUUAUUAAAAUUUUCCCUCCUUUAGUGGUUAUUUGUGAUAUAGCCCUGUUGUUCCCCAUCUCACUGACCCCAAAUUCAACACAUGCCACAGCUGCUGGCCACAGUGAAAACUAAUGAUCAACACCAGUCAUGUGAAUAAGACGUCCCUUCAUGUGUUUUCUUUAAGCUAGCCUAUCCACAGCCCCAUGGGAAAGCCUAAAGAAUAGUACCUGUGGAUUAUAAUAAAGACGUCUUACUGGUUCUUGCUCUCUAUCCCUCUCUCUACACACUGGUCAAGUACACUCUUGUCUCCAGACUUCCCAUUGGCCUCCUGUCAACACCUGUACCCACUCUGGACCUGGGAAUAAUAAACUUCUUUUUUUUUUUAAUGUAUUUUGGUUUCACUUCCUCAUUGUAUCUCACCUGACACACACAUACUAUAGUGUUCUCAAUAUUAUUUAAUGUGUUUAACAAAUCAUAACAGAUAAUAUAUGAUUGACACUGUGCCUCCUGAUUUGAUGCAAUAUGGACUAUUCCACAUCACUGAUGAAGUAGUCAUACAAAAAAUAUUUAUCUUGAAUCAAAGCAAGAUUUUAUACCAAAAUUCUAGUUCAAGUUACCUGAUAGAGGAACAUAUUAAACAAUACUAUGUGUAAACAAUACUAUGUGUAAACAAUCAGAAAAAUAAUAGAUUGUAGCCUUCAAAAAACGAUGGCCUUACAAAACAAAUAAACAAAAAGUUUGUGUGGGUGUGUACAUGCAAGGGCUAAUCUCAAAUGCAGAAAGACCAGAAUACAAUAACAAAUAUAAUUCUUGAAAGUGGAUUUCAUCUUGGUUUACCAAAAAUAGCUAUGAGGGAAAUUUGGGUAAGAAUUAGAGAAUUCUGAAUAUAGAAUGAAUUAAAACAUAUUAUGAAUUAAGUUAAUAUUUUUGAUGUUUUCUUUUGAUAUGUUCUUUUAGAAUAUGUAAUAUCCCUAUUUAUUGGAGAUGUGUGCUAAAUUAUUUACAAAUAUUUGGGUAUCUGAAAUUUACUUUCAAAUGCACCAAAAAUAAUAGCUAUACAAAAAGAAAUACAUUAAAUUUACUCUAUAGUAGUAGUUAUUCUUUCUGAGAGGUUUACACAGUAUUUUCCUGUUCUUUUGUAUGUAUGUAUUUUUAAAAGAACGUAGGCCUGGCGCAGUGGCUCACGCCUAUAAUCCCAGCACUUUGGGAGGCCGAGGUGGGCGGAU
rnacentral:lncRNA from 1 species